rnacentral:rRNA from 1 species
UACAGAGGUCUCAAGCGUUGUUCGGAUUCAUUGGGCGUAAAGGGUGCGUAGGCGGCGCGGUAAGUCGGGUGUGAAAUCUCGGAGCUUAACUCCGAAACUGCAUUCGAUACUGCCGUGCUUGAGGACUGGAGAGGAGACUGGAAUUUACGGUGUAGCGGUGAAAUGCGUAGAUAUCUGGAGGAAUACCGGUGGCGAAGGCGGCAUCCUGGACCGGCAUUGACGCUGAUGAGCGAAAGCUAGGGGAGCAAACGGG